rnacentral:misc_RNA from 2 species
AUUCUUCAACCCUCUCUUUUCUUAGUGAUUAGAGAGGAGCUUGGAUUCUGAGUGUUGCUCCUUACCCGAGCUCAUUCGUAAUACAUUAGCAUCCAUAUUCGAACUUUCGGAUUGACUUGGCGUAAUAGACUAUUCGCUGAGGAAUCUAACUUCGGUUAGAGCCGGGUUUGAACUAGGAAGCUCCUAAUCUAGCUUAGUCUACUUUUAG